rnacentral:lncRNA from 1 species
AGGCUUACACUCUCAGCACACAACUUCCACAUAUGCUGCCAAAGGGGCAGGGAGAGAGGGGUGAGACACACUAGCUUUUAACUUUUUAACUUUCUUAUCCUUUCCAUCCAAAGUCCUUGGGCCAGAACAGCCAGGAAACCUGCAUAUUUUGUGAGUACUGAUUGCUUCUGUCACACUCUUACGCCUCCGUCAAGCCUCUGCUCAGAGGGCAGCUUCUCUAUAAAGAGAAUUGCACAAGUCUUCCUGCCCCCUUCCAAGGAGAACAAAUUCCUUCCUUUUUAUGAUUCCACAGGACUUUGAUAUACAUCUUGACAGCUAAUAUCGAGGCCCAAGUGCUUUAAUUUUGAGAUUUUUAAAUUUUAAAAUGACUGCAUUGGCUUUUGCAGUGGGCAUCUGUUAUUCUUUUCUACUCAACACCCAUUAGUCUCUUUGGAGAACCUCCCUCUUCUGCCUUCAGUUUAUGAUUUUGAAGGGGCUGACCUACCUCUCAGCUCCAGGGGAGCACAGGUGGCCAGCCAGUCAGCACAUCCCAUUCCCUGGAUUCUGUGCUUGGUGCAAAGAUUAGCAUGUGACUCCAACUGGUCUGAUGAGACUCACAGCCAGGACUUUUUAAAAAAAUUUUUAAACUGAAGUGUAGUUGACGUACAGUGUUGUGUUGGUUUCAGUUAUACAGCAAAGUGAUUCAGUUAUGAUUGUUUUUCAUCUUUUCCAUUAUAGGCUAUUAUAAGAUAUUGAAGAUAGUUCUGAUAUGCUAUAAGUAAGUCCUUGUUGUUUAUCUAUUUUAUAUAUAGUAGUGUGUAUCCGUUAAUCCCAGUCUCCCAAUUUAUCCCCCCCUUUCCCCUUUGGUAAUCAUAAGUUUAUUUUCUGUGUCUUUGAGUCUAUUUAUAUUCUGUAAAUAAGUUCAUUUGUAUCAUUUUUUUUAGUUUCCACAUAUAAAUUUUAUCAUAUGAUAUUUGUCUUUCUCCACCUGACUUACUUCACUUGGUAUGAUAAUCUCUAGGUCCAUCCAUGUUGCUGUAAACGGCAUUAUUUCAUUCUUUUUUUUUAUGGCUGAGUAAUAAUCCAGUGUAUACAUGUACCACAUCUUCUUUAUCCAUUCCUUUGUCAAUGGACAUUUAGGUUGUUUCCAUGUCUUGGCUAUUGUGAAUAGUGCUGCAAUGAACAUUGGGGUGAAUAUAUCUAAUUAGGGUUCAUAAAAGCCAAGACUUUUAUUAACAUAUUUGGGGAAGAGAAGGUCUCUUUGCACUUGGAUGUACAGCUGUCAAAGUAAAGGGAGCUGAAGAUGUCUGAGGUCCCCAUUGGAGAAGAUCUGCUUGAGAAUGACGUCAACAGAGAGGAAGGUGGGACAGAGGGAGAAAGAGAUAGAACUGCAAAUAAAAAUAAAGGUAAAGACAAAGGAAUAGGGGAGGAAAAAGAGAGAGGAGAGACUGCUGUGAUUUGAGCCAUGUGAGACCUUUGGGUUAACUGGACCAGAAACCAUUCUUUCUUGAACUUUUCAAUGAAACUCCUGAAUUUUAUUUAAUUUUAAUCUGAUUUUAUUUUUGCUUAAACUCGUUUGAGCAAGAUUUUCUCUCACAUGUAACCCAAAGUUAUCUGAAUUUGCAAAUAGGUGAAACUAAUGAUAACAUCCUAAAAUGCCCCAAACUGUCAGUAUGUAGAUAAGAGAGAAGCAUCAGCCAUUUUCCUCACUGAUAGAUGAAGAAAUGGGUCCAUUCAGUAAUGACUGUGCUUAAAGAUUCCAAAUGAAGUUGGAUUGAAUACAAAAAAACCCAUGCCAUCUUUCUUUCAUCGCUUUUCCCUCCAAGUACUUCCUUGAUUAUUUGUUAGUCAUGAGUAGUUCUUUAUUCCUCAAGGCUCCUAGACCCACCACCUAACCCUGGAUUCCUACAGUUCAUGUUCAGUUACUAUCAGCCAUCGAAUCCUGGGUUUUCUCUUGAUGUGUUGUAAGUUGAGGAGAGUCCUGAACUUUCUUCAUUUCCUCUUGCUUUGAGUCCCAAUGGAACAGGUUUGAUGGUGACCCUGCAGGAAGGAACUGGGCCAUACCUCAUCAUGAAGCAUCUUCCAUGCAUGGGUUACUUAGGCUGCAUGUUGAUACACCGGUGCCCCGCAGAAGCCCUUGGUAUGGGGUGGGGAGGGGCUCUUAGGAUGCCUUCUCCAUAAUCUCUGCAGCCUUGAUCCUUCCCCGAGUGGAUAACACCUCUUUACAUCCCUUCUUAGGCAAAGUUAGGGCCUCUCCUUCCUAUUUUUUUCUGGUCUUCUCACCAUCUCUUUCUUAUCCAUAUGUUUCAUCUUUCUAUAAUAGUUCGCAAAGUAGUCAAAGGUCACAUGCUUUCUUUGAAACUGUCUCCUCAUGUCUGAGUAGGGAUAAUAAUUUUUACUUACUAAAAUUGUUAUGAUGAAUAUGAAAUUAGCUAUUUAGAGUGAGACACCCAAAGCCUGAUACAUUACAGAUGUUAACAUCUUAAUAUGCUAGCUAUCUAACCUUUCUGGUAUAUGUAGCUUCUUUUCAUUUUCCUCCUCCACUGUGAUGGUGAGAGUCCAAAUUUAUUUUGUCUUUUAAAGUAGUUAGAAGGUGGUGUGUCUUUAUCAUCUCUUCAGCUUUUAGUUGAAUUCAAAUUGAGAAUUCUUGAAUUUUUCAAUGAUACCCUCAUUUCAUGCAUGGAAUUUCAUUUGAGAACCUGACCUUGCCACUGUCCUUCCAUAUACAUGCCACUGUCUGCCAUAGAAAUGGGACACCACAGGAAUUUCCUAUUUUCAGCUAAUCUCUGAAGCAUUAUUCCUUUCCUGGGCUACCUUCGACCACCUCUUCAGAGGUUACUGUGUGUUCUACGGAACGCUAGCUCCAUGGACUAUUUAUAGGUGCCAAGAGAUCUAAAAAGUACCACAAAUGAAUAAAUUUGUGAGUCACUUGGUUUAAAUCAAGUAUAUCAAGUCUUCUGCAACCAGGUCUUCUGCAGGAUUUCCCAGAGUCUUUUGAUGCUAAUGUAUAUUGUGAAUCUCCAGGAGAGGUAGGGGGGACAUAGCACGCAAGGUUUUUCCAAUCCACUUGGCCAUAAAACCUAUUACCAGUUGAGCCUUUUAUGGGACAAGCAUUCCAAAACACUCACCUAGGAAAAUGCUGACCCAGUGUUUCAAGUAGUUUUCUCUAAUAAUGUCCUCUUUUUUCCAGGAAUACCACAUUUUUCUGUAUUCUUCCUCGGUUGUCUUGUCUAUUUUGUGCUGGCUCCUCCUUUUUUGUUGCAUUCCUGCUGGGUAAAUAUAGUCAUAGGCUGAAUGAUAAAACACAGUGAUUAGUUGACCAAGGAGAAGAGUGAAGAGCCACACCGGUGUGUGAUGAUAAAUAUUGCAAUAUGUUGAAUUCACCUUUGCUGCUUUUCUUUAACUGAUCUCAUAAAUGGGUGAAGGUAACAUCUCCAUUCUUCUCUAGGACUUGCCUUCUUAUUGGAACAGGGGAGCCUUAGUGGGGUCUUACAUAUAAUGAAUACCUUUUGGGGAAAUGGUCUAAUUUUUCUUUGUAAGAGCACACAUCAAAAUAGAUAGCCUAUAGUCAUUUGAUUAUUAUGGCUUCUCUGUUUCAAAUUUGCUUGCAAAACCUGGGGUGUAUAAGGUAGACCAGAUCAAAAGAUUUUCAUGUACACAGUUACCAGUAAGAAUGGAAAGAAUAAUUGACUCAUUUAUGCCUUCCCUCUCUUUAAUGUAUAGUGCAUCAUUAAUAAUUAAUAUUAGAUUCCCCUCCCCCCCUUUUUGGUUUCCUUUUCAUUGUAAUUCAGAUAAAACAUUUAUGAAAUGGAAUUAGUGCACUUCACACCUUGUAGCUAAUUUUUAAGACACAGUCCCCUCUGGAUUACUAUAUAUCUGAAUUAAAUUAGGAGAUCAGGAUUAACGCCCCUGCUUUCCUUUUCCUUUCUUUGGUCUGAAGCUUUCUCUCUGUAAUGAAAAGAAUAUGAUUUUUUUCUAAGCCUGCUCUUAAUUUUAUUUAGUCUAAUAAGAGCGAACAUAACCUACUUAUUGUUUUCUUUGUCUCCAUUUGUAAAGGGAUAUCACCUCUGUGACAGGUACAUAACCUUAGGCAACAUGUAAAUAAGGCACAUCCUUCCUGGGACUGCUUUUAUCUUUUUACAUAGGAUUUAAUUCUGGAAUUCUCCAUUUAUGAUAUCAAUUUGUUAUUGCCAUUUUAGGGAUACAAUAAAGUAAAAGAAUUUAAAAGCAGACUAGCUCUUUUUAAUGGGAGUUAAAGAAGAAAUGUAUAGAAUUUCUCUCUUACGGAAUACAUAUAUAUAUAUAUAUUUUUUUAUGGCUGCACCCACGACAUAUGGGAGUUCCUGGGCCAGGGACUGAUUCCAAGCCACAGCUGCAAACUACACUGCAGCUGUGGCAACUCUGGAUCCUUUAACCCGGACAGGGAUCGAACUUGUACCUCCACAGUGUCUCAAGCUCCUGCAGUCAGAUUCUUAACCCACUGUGCCAUAGAGGAAACUCUGGAAUACACAUGUUUAUAACACUUGUGUCCUUUAUAUUACAUUUACAGUGAUUUAUAUUUAAACUGAGGGUGUAUUUAUCAGAAAUGCCUUUAAAGGUCCCAUCUAUCUAUCUAUCUAUCUAUCUAUCUAUCUAUCUAUCUAUCUACCUAUCCUUCUCCCUUACAAAUUCUGAUUUAGUCAUUGUGGGUUGUGGCCCCAGUAUCUAAAUUCUUAGAGCCCCCCUGGGUUUUACUGUUGCACACCCAAUCAAGAAGCACUGGUGUACAAUGUUCUAUUUGGAAAUAAUUUCUACCGUGAGAAGUCUGCUUCAUUUGUGGCUGACAGGACAAAGGCACAGAAGGAUGAAAAGAUUUUUGUGGAAACCACACAGCAAGCCCUUGGGGAACCCAGUAAUAGGAAGGGAUUAUUUCCUUUUGGGUACUCUCUCCACCCCAGCAAAUGACCGCUGGAGGACGCAGGUGGGACCCUAAUUGUUAUUAACAGAGUUUCACACUGGGCCUCAGUUAUGCCUCUUCUAUGGUUUCUAGAAAAAAUAGGUCCACUUUGGUUGAGGCAGAGAACAUGAACGACCCGUGGGAAUCCUAGCUUUUUUUUUUUUUUUUCUAAUUCAGGAUAGUUUUAGAUUUGUUUUGGUUUAAAUGGGCCAGUAUGCCUACACAGACUGUUUGGGCCUGAAUGGUUACAACUUGUCUAAAUUUCCUCUUCACUUGUCUCCUUUCACGAACUCACACCUCCAUCUUCUUUAUUGCAGGAUAAACACGCAAUGAAAAGGAAAGGAGAGCAAAAGCAGUGCCUUUCCAAGGUUAAACUUCUGACUAAAUUGGAUCAGUUUUUCACAUUCUUUGCCUACAGGAUGUGAAAGUCAAUGCAGUUUCCUGUGUGCAGGUCCCGUUUUCAGGGUGGUUACAGCAUGUGAUCUUGACAGAUGGACCCCUACGGUAGGAUGUCCAGAGGGAGGGCAUAAAGGCGUCUUUUCUGGUGGUGAAACGUAGCUUUCUGAGAGCAAGGACAAGCAGUCGGUUUCCCCCAGAACUUUCAUACGUUGUCAUGCUGAACAAUUACUCCUAACCACAUGUGGUUAAGAGAAGCAUGCUUCAAUGGGAUUUAAGCAUGAAGUCCCCCUCCUUCAUUUCCACAAAUGAGAAGCAGAUGCCCGUAGUCUCUGGGUAAUAUUCAGGCCUUAAUAACAUUGCCAUGCAUCAGGCACAUUAAUGGAUGCUGACAGUGGUAAUAAGAAUAGUCAUAAUUAUAGGAAACUUUUAUUGAGUAUUUACCAAGUGCCAGCCACUAAUGUUUUAUGUGGAUUACUUUAUGUAAUCCUCACAAACCCCGACGUAGAAAGGUAGUGAAUGUGUUUUAUUUUAGGCCACCCAGAUUCUCUCUCCCUUCCUAUUGAUAAUAGUACCAAUAUUUUCAUGUCCUCCCCAAGGAAUCCCCUAUGCUUUGGGAGACACAGAUCCCAUCCUCAUCUCUAGGACAAGCCCUGAUAGUCCUAAACCAAUUCAGCAAAUCCAAGCCACAAAUUAGUUAGGGAUGAUCAUGUAUCAGAUUCGGACCAAUUAGGUCAAAGGAGACGUUUUCAGAGGGAACCUAGGUCUUCUGUCAAAAGGCCUAGAGGGACAUUCUAGUGUGGAAGCGUGGAAACUGCUGAAGGGAGUCAUCCUUGCCUAAAGGUAGUACCAAAGAAAUCAGUAAAGAAAAACAGGAAGAGGGAGUUCCCAUUGUGUUUCAGUGGAAACGAGUCUGACUCAUAUCCAUGAGGAUGCGAGUUCGACCCCCGGCCUUUCUCAGUGGGUCAGGUAUCCAGCAUUGCCAUGAGCUGCGGUGUAAGUCACAGACAUGGCUCGGAUCCCAUGUUGCUGUGGUGUAGGCCAACAGCUGUAGCACUGAUUCCACCCUGAGUCUAGGAACUUCCAAAUGCCAUGGCUAUCACCCUAAAAAGCAAACAAAAAUAAAACCCCCAAAAAACAACAACAAAAAAAACCAACCAACCAAACAAAAAACAAAAACAGGAAGAGGUGAGAAAUCUGUUGAUUUCACUGAGCAGCUAGAUGAGGCCUCAAUUAAAGCCGAUUUUACUUUCAGUUUUUUUCACCCAAUAGCUUACCUUCAUCAUUUAUGUUGAAUUGGGUUUUCUGGACCUGACAACCACAGGAUUCCUAACAGGUUCUGAUAUUAAAAGCUGUAUUUUAUAGAAAAGGAAAUGGGCUGAGAGAGUUUGAAUACUUUCCCAAUAUAAUUGAAAAAGUGAGAGAUUAGGGAUUUGAAUCCAGUGGUUUGACGCCAAAAUCCAUGAACAUACAUGAUACCUUGAGAAGAUGGAAAACAAUGUCAUUGUUAAGGAGAGAGUCCUAGAAAGUAAUGUAUUGCUUCUGUUUCUUAGUCCUGAUGGAAUGUGGAUUUAACCUGUGAAGAAUGUAUAAGAAAUCAAUUUGGAAUCUCAGGCUGUGUACCCUUUGUUUGAAACUUUCCAUAUUCAGAUUGUGGAGUGGCUUUAGGAGCCAAAACAUCUUACUGGAAAAAUCACUGUAAAUCACCUCUUUAUAAACUCAUCACAUGUACUAUUUAACGUUAAGUUUUUAGAAUAGAGUUGGAUUUAAGGUCAUUGACAAAUCUGAUUAUGUUUUUUAAUAACUUGGAUGUUUAUAAACAUGUACACUCUUGACCUUAAGAAGAGUCUGAAGUGAACUCCUAGGUAUUUUGGGUGCAUAACAGGAUUUGACAGUCUCUGAUUUAAAUUUUUGACUAUCUUUAUACAGGGAAACUGCAUGUAGUUGUUAGGAAACCUACUGAACAAUGAUGAAGCAAUUGAUCAGAAAUAAAGUCCAGAAGGAUAGAUAAUCUAUACUUGACAAAACAUACUCUCCCCCCUCUCCUCUCUUCUCUCUUCUUUUCGCAUCUUCCCUCUUGGAUUGGGAGAGAAAAGAGAAACAAAUUGACUUCGAAACACAUACAGGCUCCUUCCUGUAUGAUGACUUGAUGACUUUUUAGCAGUCAACUAGGAAUUUAUCUUGCACAUGGAAACAACCUAAAUGUUCACUCAGGAACAUAGAAAGAAGAUGUGGUACAGAUAUACGAUGGAAUACUACUCAGACAUAAAAAGGAUGAAUUAAUGCCAUUUAUGGUCAUAUGGAUGGACCUAGAGAUGAUCAUGCUAAGUGAAGCAAGUCAGAAAAAGAAAGACAAAUGUCAUGUAGGCUGGCAGCUACAGCUCCGAUUGGACCCCCAGCCUGGGAGCCUCCAUAUGCCAUGGGAGUGGUCCUCAAAAGACAAAAAAAAAAAAAAAAAAAAA